rnacentral:Y_RNA from 1 species
GGCUGGUCUGAGAGCAGUGGUGUUUACAAUUAAUUGAUCACAUCCAGUUACAGAUUUCUUUGCUCCUUCUCCACUCCCACUGUUUCGCUUGACUAGCCUAAA